GGAGCAUAGGCCGGGUAGCUUUACCAUGCACGUCGGACGGCAGUCAUCGGGCUUCGGCCUGGUAGGCGAGUGGCGAACGGGUGAGUAAUGUAUCGGAACGUGCCCAGUAGCGGGGGAUAACUACGCGAAAGCGUGGCUAAUACCGCAUACGCCCUACGGGGGAAAGCGGGGGACCUUCGGGCCUCGCACUAUUGGAGCGGCCGAUAUCGGAUUAGCUAGUUGGUGGGGUAACGGCCUACCAAGGCGACGAUCCGUAGCUGGUUUGAGAGGACGACCAGCCACACUGGGACUGAGACACGGCCCAGACUCCUACGGGAGGCAGCAGUGGGGAAUUUUGGACAAUGGGGGCAACCCUGAUCCAGCCAUUCCCGCCGUGUGCGAUGAAGGCCUUCGGGUUGUAAAGCACUUUUGGCAGGAAAGAAACGGCACGGGCUAAUAUCCUGUGCAACUGACGGUACCUGCAGAAUAAGCACCCGGCUAACUACGUGCCAGCAGCCGCGGUAAUACGUAGGGUGCAAGCGUUAAUCGGAAUUACUGGGCGUAAAGCGUGCGCAGGCGGUUCGGAAAGAAAGAUGUGAAAUCCCAGGGCUUAACCUUGGAACUGCAUUUUUAACUACCGGGCUAGAGUGUGUCAGAGGGAGGUGGAAUUCCGCGUGUAGCAGUGAAAUGCGUAGAUAUGCGGAGGAACACCGAUGGCGAAGGCAGCCUCCUGGGAUAACACUGACGCUCAUGCACGAAAGCGUGGGGAGCAAACAGGAUUAGAUACCCUGGUAGUCCACGCCCUAAACGAUGUCAACUAGCUGUUGGGGCCUUCGGGCCUUGGUAGCGCAGCUAACGCGUGAAGUUGACCGCCUGGGGAGUACGGUCGCAAGAUUAAAACUCAAAGGAAUUGACGGGGACCCGCACAAGCGGUGGAUGAUGUGGAUUAAUUCGAUGCAACGCGAAAAACCUUACCUACCCUUGACAUGUCUGGAAUCCCGAAGAGAUUUGGGAGUGCUCGCAAGAGAACCCGGAACACAGGUGCUGCAUGGCUGUCGUCAGCUCGUGUCGUGAGAAUGUUGGGUUAAGUCCCGCAACGAGCGCAACCCUUGUCAUUAGUUGCUACGAAAGGGCACUCUAAUGAGACUGCCGGUGACAAACCGGAGGAAGGUGGGGAUGACGUCAAGUCCUCAUGGCCCUUAUGGGUAGGGCUUCACACGUCAUACAAUGGUCGGGACAGAGGGUCGCCAACCCGCGAGGGGGAGCCAAUCCCAGAAACCCGAUCGUAGUCCGGAUCGCAGUCUGCAACUCGACUGCGUGAAGUCGGAAUCGCUAGUAAUCGCGGAUCAGCAUGUCGCGGUGAAUACGUUCCCGGGUCUUGUACACACCGCCCGUCACACCAUGGGAGUGGGUUUUACCAGAAGUAGUUAGCCUAACCGCAAGGGGGGCGAUACCACGUAGAUUAGUGGC
rnacentral:rRNA from 1 species